CCAAGGCCCACAGCUGGAGCCGUGGCAGAUGCUGAGUGACAAUCUUCCUCUUGUGGCUGAACAGGAAUCAGUGUGCAGAUUUCAGACCUUUAUGUUUGCUCUGCAUUGAGACAUGGAUCAUCAGAACCAGAUUGGGAACAACUUUGAAGUUUUCAAAGUGAUUUUGUAGUGGCAGCCUUGCAUCAGAAUAAUUCUCAAGCCUUUUUCACCCAUGGAGGAUAUGUUGAUACUGCCGCUUCCACCUUGGGAAACGUGACAAGAGGCGUCAUUGCCUGCCACCUCAACUAUGCAUCCAAGCUUGGAAGUGGCUGGAGGCAGAGGAUGGGAAGCUGUCACACAGGAAAAAGCCUUGCAGCAUCAAUUCUCUUCGGUGACAGAGCCACUGGAACAAAUUCUACUGGACAUUUUUGUGACAUAUUAUUUGGGGUGAUUAGAGUAUCACAAGCGGUGACAGAAUGCAGAUUUGGAAAACAGAAGAAAAGUCCCACUUAGACAACUUAAGGCACAAUCUGCUCUUAAGCACUUCCUCCCAAUAGCGUGCUGCUGUUCGAAUAUUUGCACUGGGCCAAGGUAUUGUGUUUCCAGAUGGGCCAAGGCAAGCAUGUGACUUUGGAAGGAUACCACAUUUAGUAGCCCUUUCCUUGAUUGUGAAACAAAUACUGACUGCUGUUACACCUAAAUUAGCCCUCUAUCAAGCUAGAGGAAAUAGUGCUAAG
ensembl:lncRNA